GUGCUCGCUUCCGCAGCUCAUAUACUAAAAUUGGAAUGAUACAGAGAAGAUUAGCAUGAUCCCUGUGAAAGGAUGACAGGCAAAUUCUUGAAGUGUUCCAUAUUAAA